CUGCUCUGGUACUUCAGGGGUGCUCGAGUCGUUCACUUCGAUUCUUGUCAUCUUGUUGACUUUUUGUUUCGUAAUCCUAAUAAAUUUAAAUGACGCGCAAUGUGUGCACGAAGGUCUCCUCACACGAAUCCUCUGGAAAGGGUACUCGAACAGGGGCGUCAAUGGAACAAGGGGUCUGAGGGUACAUACAUCAUCAUAAAUAUGGUGCAAUUUUAAAGUUUGGCUUUAGAAAUCCAAGUGCUAUUGACUACAGUCCCCUUUAACAGAAGCUUUAUACGCCACCCAUGAAAUAGUUCUCACGUGAAGCCAACAACUAAUUGAAGAGUUUUUUGUUUCAAAUGCAACCCCUUUUCCAAGAGCUCUCGCUAAGCAGGCAGAGCGAACAGAAUAGUGUGAACCCAUUAAAAUUUAAAUACAAAAACAA